rnacentral:rRNA from 1 species
AUUGAACGCUGGCGGCAGGCUUAACACAUGCAAGUCGAGCGGGGUGAUGGUGCUUGCACUAUCACUUAGCGGCGGACGGGUGAGUAAUGCUUAGGAAUCUGCCUAUUAGUGGGGGACAACAUCUCGAAAGGGAUGCUAAUACCGCAUACGUCCUACGGGAGAAAGCAGGGGAUCACUUGUGACCUUGCGCUAAUAGAUGAGCCUAAGUCGGAUUAGCUAGUUGGUGGGGUAAAGGCCUACCAAGGCGACGAUCUGUAGCGGGUCUGAGAGGAUGAUCCGCCACUCUUGGACUGAGACACGGCCCAGACUCCUACGGGAGGCAGCAGUGGGGAAUAUUGGACAAUGGGGGGAACCCUGAUCCAGGCAUGCCGCGUGUGUGAAGAAGGCCUUAUGGUUGUAAAGCACUUUAAGCGAGGAGGAGGCUCUUUUGGUUAAUACCCAAGAUGAGUGGACGUUACUCGCAGAAUAAGCACCGGCUAACUCUGUGCCAGCCGCCGUGGUAA